GAUGAACGCUGGCGGCGUGCUUAACACAUGCAAGUCGAACGAAGCAUUUGCGACAGAUUUUUUCGGAAUGAAGUUGCUUAUGACUGAGUGGCGGACGGGUGAGUAACGCGUGGGUAACCUGCCUUGUACUGGGGGAUAGCAGCUGGAAACGGCUGGGAAUAACGCAUAAGCGCACAAUGUUGCAUGACAUGGUGUGAAAAACUCCGGUGGUAUAAGAUGGACCCGCGUCUGAUUAGCUAGUUGGUGAGAUAACAGCCCACCAAGGCGACGAUCAGUAGCCGACCUGAGAGGGUGACCGGCCACAUUGGGACUGAGACACGGCCCAGACUCCUACGGGAGGCAGCAGUGGGGAAUAUUGCACAAUGGAGGAAACUCUGAUGCAGCGACGCCGCGUGAGUGAAGAAGUAAUUCGUUAUGUAAAGCUCUAUCAGCAGGGAAGAUAGUGACGGUACCUGACUAAGAAGCUCCGGCUAAAUACGUG
rnacentral:rRNA from 1 species